rnacentral:rRNA from 1 species
AUUGAACGCUGGCGGCAGGCCUAACACAUGCAAGUCGAGCGCGUGGCGGACGGGUGUGUAGUGUCUGGGAAACUGCCCUGUGGGGGGGGAUCACUACUGGAAACUUUAGCUAAUCCCGCAUACCAUCGGAUGUGCCCAGAUGGGAUUAGCUAGUAGGGGGGGUAACGGCUCACCUAGGCGACGAUCCCUAGCUGGUCUGAGAGGAUGACCAGCCACACGGGAACUGAGACACGGUCCAGACUCCUACGGGAGGCAGCAGUGGGGAAUAUUGCACAAUGGGCGCAAGCCUGAUGCAGCCAUGCCGCGUGUAUGAAGAAGGCCUUCGGGUUGUAAAGUACUUUCAGCGAGGAGGCGUUACUCGCAGAAGAAGCACCGGCUAACUCCGUGCCAGCAGCCGCGGUAAUUU